rnacentral:rRNA from 1 species
GACGAACGCUGGCGGCGCGCUUAACACAUGCAAGUCGAACGGAAAGGCCUGCUUUCCCUUGUGGAUUGUGGGUACUCGAGUGGCGAACGGGUGAGUAACACGUGAGUGAUCUGCCCCCAACUUGGGUAUAAGCCUGGGAAACUGGGUCUAAUUCCCGAUAGGACUGCAGGGUGGUGCCUGUGGUGGAAAACGAUUUUCUAGUGGUUGGGGAUGAGCUCGCGGCCUAUCAGCUUGUUGGUGGGGUAAUGGCCUACCAAGGCGGCGACGGGUAGCCGGCCUGAGAGGGUGGACGGCCACAUUGGGACUGAGAUACGGCCCAGACUCCUACGGGAGGCAGCAGUGGGGAAUAUUGCACAAUGGGCGGAAGCCUGAUGCAGCGACGCCGCGUGGGGGAUGACGGCCUUCGGGUUGUAAACUCCUUUCGACCGCGAGGAAGCCACCUGGUUGGAAGGGUGGUGACGGUAGUGGUAGAAGAAGCACCGGCUAACUACGUG